rnacentral:rRNA from 1 species
AUUGAACGCUGGCGGCAGGCCUAACACAUGCAAGUCGAGCGGAGCGGCGGACGGGUGAGUAAUGCCUAGGAAUCUGCCUGGUAGUGGGGGAUAACGUCCGGAAACGGGCGCUAAUACCGCAUCUUAUCAGAUACGCCUAGGUCGGAGUAGCUAGUUGGUGGGGUAAAGGCCUACCAAGGCGACGAUCCGUAACUGGUCUGAGAGGAUGAUCAGUCACACGGGAACUUAGACACGGUACCGACUCCUACGGUAGGCAGCAGUGGGGAAUAUGAGACAAUGGGCGAAAGCCUGAUCCAGCCAUGCCGGGUGGGUGAAGAAGGGCUUCGGAUUGUAAAGCACUAUAAGUUGGGAGGCGUUACCAACAGAAUAAGCACCGGCUAACUUCGUGCCAGCAGCCGCGGUAAUAC